rnacentral:rRNA from 1 species
AUUGAACGCUGGCGGCAGGCCUAACACAUGCAAGUCGGGCGAGUGGCGGACGGGUGAGUAAUGUAUGGUGAUCUGCCUGAUGGCGGGGGAUAACUAGUGGGAACGGUCGCUAAUACCGCAUACCAUCAGAUGAACCCAUAUGGGAUUAGCUUGUGGGGGAGGUAACGGCUCACCGGGGCGACGAUCCCUAGCUGGUCUGAGAGGAUGAUCAGCCACACUGGAACUGAGACACGGCCCAGAGUCCUACGGGAGGCAGCAGGGGGGAAUAUCGCACAAGGGGCGCAAGCCGGAUGCAGCCAUCCGGCGUGUAUGAAGAAGGCCUUCGGGUGGUAAAGUACGUUCAGUCGGGAGGCGUUACCGACAGAAGAAGCAACGGCUAACUACGUGCCAGCAGCCGCGGUAAUUC